UCGUACAGAACUACAGCCUAUUACUGGCGAGUAUUAGUUGUGUCGAUCCAAAUACUUUUGUGGGUCUGCAGUUUUGUAACUAACAGGCUGUCAUAAUGAAAUCAGUUUCGCUUUCAUUUAUCACUAUGGUAAUCAUAGUAAGAAACAAUCUUUAUACUGUGUAGAAUAUCCURGCAAUAUGAUCAUCCAGUGAUUGACACAUGGCUUGUACAAGAAAUUGUUGCUGUUAGCAACCAGACGCCAUCGGCAUUGCAUGAUUGUCAUUGGAAGACACGUGUGCAACACAUUUUGUCGCAGCGAAAACGGAAGUAAACCCGUUUUAGAAUGAAAUUGUGUUUGACCGCCGGGACUGAAGAAAGUAUGAAUACGACGAGGGUAAAGAAAUAAACUAGCUUCCACGUCGAGCAGGAAUGUAAAAAGAAAAGAAAAUGACGAAUAAGAAAUAAAUGAAACUCAACCCCUCGAUCGCGGAUCAUUGACAUAAGGUUACAACUGACCAAGAUAAACUAUAACCAGGCUGAAUGGAUGUGAAUCUAGAUCAUGUUCCUGAGCAGAGCACGUGUCGAACAAGUGAUUUACUAGCUUCCAUAUAAUGAAUAGCCAACACGCGUCCCAUGCACCUGCCUGAAGUACAGCGGGUUUACCUGUCUAGUCACCAUGGAAUCCUGAUUGACGGAUGACAAAACAUUGACCAGGGCUAUUCAUGUCAAUCAAGAAACAAGGAAUAAUAACUGAUGUAACUGCUUAAAAAUAGGAUAUUAAACAAUCAAAAAUAUUGCUACUCAGUAUCAUUCACUCAGUCGGACCGGCUCACCCUUAGUAUAGAAGUCCUUCUCUGAUACCACCUGAAUAGCCGCUACACAUACAAGUCAUGCAUCAUUUUGGACAAUCCAAGGUGUCAUUCAUCAACAAUGACUAUUUUCCUCAUGUUUUAACAAAACACCGAAUUUCCUAAUUUAAAAACUACAACUCAAAGUAGUACUUUGCGUCAGUCAUAUGAUCAGUUGUCCGCUGACCAUCAUGGAUCGAUGUGCAUGAAUAGUUUCCGCAUGUCUACGUAUCCACGUUAACCGAUCACAUGUAACAAUCUAUUGAGAUCAAGUGUUCUUCUCGUCAGUAGUACUAAUAUAUUGAUGAGGGUUAGUGUUUAGUGAAAUAAUUCAGUGUUCGUCCAUAUUUAUUCAAUACCAGUAGAGCCUAGUUAACGUACAUACAUUUUUCUGAACAUAAACGUUUGCUGUAGAAACCAGGAGUAUAACAGGAAAAAACUUGUUGUGUCCUGAUGUGAUGCAUACUCUAGGGGUACCUAGGAAACGAUGGAAAAGUUAUCCAUYGAGAGAUCCAGCAUUAAUCAGUAAUGCUUGAUUAAUAAGAUACUAGACUCAAUGGAUUUGAAUCAGUGAGUGAUCCGCCCUAUACGUGCUCUACGUGUUCUUUAUGAGAUACGUUUAGCAUGCUAAACAAGGACGAAAGGCUUCUGUCUCCAUGACGACAGAUUGCUGUUUAAUCACCUCGAAAUGAAACAGGAAGAAAGCUAAUAGAUGACGGCUAAGCUGAACUGAGGAUUGUUAUAUUGACUUGAUGUGGUUUUAGUUAUGUAUUCAGCUGUCCCGUACGUCUAUUUUCUCUAUUCAUUAGUCACAGUGCAUGUGUAUAUGACAGCCAGUCCUACCAAAGUUUUACCAAAUGAAUAAAUCUGUCUGUUUUUUGUUAA